ACUGGAAACAUGAGGGCUUAGGUUGAGUAAAUUGUCAGUAAAUGCAUCUGGCUCUUCCGAGGAGUCCAGACUGUAACAAUGACCACUACUAUUGUAGCGAACGGUUGUUGAACGCUUGUCUGGAGCUGUACCGUUCUAAUGGACUUUACGUCCAUCAUCUCAUUUAAUCCUCAGAACAGUUCAAAGAGGUAGGUUAUUAUUAUUACGAUCAUCCUUGAUUAUAGAGUCUUGGCGAACAUCCAUAACCUGCCUAGCCCAGGUCACACAGUUGUUAAGGUGUGCAGAGGUCCACGCGCUUGGUGCCUUGACCUCUGCUACGGGUGCUGCCUUCUUCCAUCCAGGCUGCUCCCAUUACCCCUUCAUUUUCGCCCCCCAAGGGCUCUUGCACCUACCCUGAGGAGAUAAUAAGCAGCCAGAGCAGGGCCCAGAGGGCGGCUGCCCGGGCUGGGAGGAGCCUCCAAGGUCCCCGUGCCUGGAGCCAACUGUACCGCUUGCGGAGAACGAAGAGCUGCAGAACUGCGUCCCCUCGGAGCAGAUACUGUCCUCUGCGCGGGAGGAUGACUUACCCACAGGGGCUGGUACGGACAAGGAAAUAAAGGACCGGGUAGGAGGGAGAGACUGGCCCACAGCCCUUCUUAGGACGGCAAAGCCCUGUGAGCGGACGCUCUGCGCCACCAGCGGCUCUAGAAUAGUCGCGGGCCGGCCUGACUGCGAAAGGCCAGGGUCCGCGGCCCGGGCGCCAGGCGGUUUCUGCACACACUGCGGCCCCGCCUUUCCUGGUGGCAGUCAGGUCCCUCCCCGGCCCUGCUGCCGGCCCACGUGGACUGGCUGGCCCGGGCUUCCUCAAGGAUCUCCCGUGGGUGUGUUGGGGAGGAGGGCGCCGAGGAGGAAGGAAUUCAAAGUAGAGUAAUCGACACCCCGCGACUUGCCGUCGGGGAUCUUGGUCUUCAAGCGAAUCCGCCUCUGCAGGUGCUUGGCAGCUCCGAGGUUCUCCCUGCAGGGGCAGCCUGGGAUUCCAGAGGGUUCCAGAGGAUCCCAAGGACCUGCGUGCCCGCGUCUCCCGCCGGGUGCGCGCACUGAGCUUUGCCCAGCGUUCUUGGGCUGCCUUCUCCCCUUCUGCACGGCUGUGGGUCCCAGCAAGACCCAGCAGUAAAAGAGAAAGGGCGGCGGGAGGAUGAGCCCUGCCCAGCUCGGCAGGAGGCUGCGGGCGCACCACGAGGAAGCCCAGUGCCGGGGCGCUUCUUCCAGCCCGGGACCCCCGUUCCCGCUCUCCGCAGGCGGAGAUGGCCCAAGGCUCGGCCCCAAACCCUCGAUUUCCUAUGAACCAGUCCUUACUCCUUUCCUAGAUGAAAACUGAGGCAAUGCCAUAAAAACAAGUGAAGGAGCAGCCACGGAGAGGUCUGGGAGCCCUCUUUCUUAUUCCUGGCAGGCCGGAAGGACCUCACUGGAUGGUGUGUAUGUACGUCGGAGAGGAAGAGGGCGAAUGAAGGAGAAAGAUCAAACAUUGCUCUGUGUUUUGUGACUGACUGGCUUCUCUAACGACCAGAGAUGUUUUACAAAUUAUGAAUGGCUAUUAAAAAAUUAAUAUGUACAAUGAUACUAUUUACAAUAGCAUCAAAAACAUCAAAUACCUAGGAAUAAAUCUAAUGGAAGAAGUACGAGACCUAUGUAGAAAACUACAAACAUUGAGAGAAACUAAAUUAAAAAAGGACAUACCUUGUUCACUGAAAAGAUGUCAAAUUUCCCCAAAUUGAUCUAUAAGUUCAAUUUUUUUUUUUUUAGAAAUGAACAGGGUGAUUCUAAAAUUUAUAUGAAAAUGCAAAGGGCCAAAAAUAACCUAGAAAUUCAGACAGAGGAAGAACAAAGCUGAAGGCUUUACAUGACUAGAUAUCAAGAUGUAUCAUAAAGCUAUGAUAAUUAAGACAGCAUGGCAUUGGUUCAAGAAUAGACUAAUAGACCAGUGGAACAGAAUAAAGUUCAGCAUUGAAUCCACACAUAGCGGUGACACUGAAGAGCUGGUGGGAAAGCUGCAUUUGUUAAUAAAUGGCACUGGGUCUAUGUGAUAUACUUACGGGGAAAAAAAAAGAAUCUUGACCCCUAUCUCAUACUAUAUGGUAGGGAAAAUUUUGUGCUUCAGUGGAAAACUGCAUUUUCUGUAGCAUAGCCUCUGGGUUGUCUGAUUUUGAUUUUGUGGCAGCUGUUUUACAACUCUGUAACUUGUAGACAGCUGAUAGCAAUGCAAAAUUCAUGAAAAUAAAUUCACUCUGUCCCCCACCGUGGAAAACCGGUUUUGCCUCUAUUUGCAUACUCAUUUCAAUAUUCGUGAUCUAUAAACGUGUCUGUUCUUUGGAUUCACCUUUGAACAAGUCGAAACACCUUGCUAGAUUGCGUUCUUAAUAAGUUAAAUAAAAUUUUAAUGUGUUCAUUUUUAUAUCUUUAUGAGUCACAAUUUUAUCUUUUUUUUGAAAAUUGUCAUCUAACAAUACACAAAAAUUAAUUCCAGAUGGAAUGCUAAUCUAAAUGUGAAAGUAAAGCAAUAGAGCUUCUAGAAGAUUAUAAAAGAGAACAUAUUCAUGACUUUGGGGCAGCAAAGUUUUCUUAAAAAGGGCACAAAAGCACUAACCACAAAAGAAAAGAUUGAUAACUCAGAUUUCACUAAAACUAAGAAUUUCUUUUUACUCCAAAACACCACUAAGAGAAUGAAAAGGAAAGCCACAGAGUGGGAG
rnacentral:lncRNA from 1 species